GGAAUCUGAGAUUUAAGAGGUCUGGUUCAAGCUUAUGGGGAGAUGAUGAUGAGGCGAAGGCACGAGAGCAGCAGGAAGUAUGAGAGCGCAGCGGCGGUGCUGUGGCUACUGCUGCCUCUUCUAGUUUUGGUUGCUCUCAACACUAACUUCCUGCCACAACUUGCACGCUAUUGGAUUGUCGGGUCACCACCUUGGGCAGCAUGAAGAGACAGGAUGACCAACGACAUCGCUGCAACUAGAGAUGUGGCAGCACCAAUAAUAAGCAGCAAGUUAACCUGCAACUUCACCACCUUUCGGUCGAACACCUGCACAAUGGAAGGAAAAAGAAGCCGAUGGAAGAUCCCAGAGAGGGCCGUUUGGGUUUGGGCAUUCGGAUCAAAGCUGUCAGUUUUGGUCAAAGAGAUGAUAUAGCGUUGGUCAAAAGCGACCUGGACUCGGUCAAGUAGACGACUGGAUGCAAUUCGAA